rnacentral:rRNA from 1 species
GUAAGGUCUGUUGUCAGGCCAGAACAGUGCGUGCGAAUAGAGCGGACCUUGACGGUACCUGACGAGGAAGCCCCGGCUAACUACGUGCCAGCAGCCGCGGUAAUACGUAGGGGGCAAGCGUUGUCCGGAAUUAUUGGGCGUAAAGCGCGCGCAAGCGGUUCCUUAAGUCUGAUGUGAAAGCCCACGGCUCAACCGUGGAAGGUCAUUUGGAAACUGGGGAACUUGAAUACAGAAGAGGAGAGUGGAAUUCCACGUGUAACGGUGAAAUGCGUAAAUAUGUGCGAGGAACACCAGUGGCGAAUGCGAAUCUCUGGUCUGUAACUGACGCUGAUGCGCGAAAGCGUGGGGAGCAAACAGGAUUAGAUACCCUGGUAGUCCACGCCGUAAACGAUGAGUGCUACGUGUUACGGGGCUUACAACCCUUAGUGCU